UUUUCAUUUGCACGACUGUAGGUGCAGGAUCUGUUCCCCUAAACCACUUGAUUAAGAUGAAGUGAUAUUGGUUUGUUGGCUUACACUGUUUGUUUUUUAAGAUAUCCCUACAUUUGAGUAAGAGUAAAAGUAGAACAAUUUUACCUCCAGCUAUUUUUCUUUUUACCCUCCGCUAUUUCAUCUGAAGUCUUGUCAUCCUUUUUUUAUAUUGCUGUUCCUAUUGACAUGUAUUGUUCUUGCCCACAGAAUUCUGUGUAUAAAAGAGACCUUCCAUGGAAGCUGAGGCUUGAAGUUUCUUUCAAACACUCCUAUUUUCAAACAAUUGUAAGUAGAAAUCCCUUCAUAUGCAUACAUUUUAUUGUGACACAUACAUUUAUCAAAUAUCCCUGGGUAUAUGCAAGCAUGCUUUGACAAACUUCCACACACAAACAUGCUUUGUGAUACAUGUGUGAUACAUGUGUGUGUAUAUAUAUUUGGUGGUGUGCCGGAACCGACGAUGAGGUAGGCCUGAGAAAGAAGAGGGCCUACCCAGGGAAAGAAAAAUAGAAAAUAAAUGUUAAAGUGUGGUGUGGUGGGAGGGUCAUUCAACGCUGACCUCGAACGGUAAGGAGCAAGGUAAGGGGAGUGCCUUAAGUAGGCUAGG